rnacentral:lncRNA from 1 species
CCCUGCAGUGUACAACAUCAUUUUAGGUCGGUUAGAAUUGAAUAUUCUCCGAGCUAUAGUGUCAACCUAUCAUUUGGCGGUAAAAUUUUCUAUUCCAUAUGGGUUCGGUGAGCUCCAAGGUAAUCAGCAACUCACGAGGGAAUGUUACAUGGCCACCUUGCACUGUGUGUCACCUAUGAAACAACCGAUGGAUGAGCUUGACGUGCGGGAUGAGCUAACUAAAUAGAGGGGCCACCCGAUGGAAGAUCUCAUCCCAAUACCAAUCGACGAGGAUACAAACAAAGUUGUUAGGAUCGGA